rnacentral:pre_miRNA from 14 species
GUGUGUACGAUGUGACAGCUUCUGUAGCACUAAAGUGCUUAUAGUGCAGGUAGUGUUUAGUUAUCUACUGCAUUAUGAGCACUUAAAGUACUGCUAGCUGUAGAACUCCAACUUCGGCU